rnacentral:rRNA from 1 species
AUUGAACGCUGGCGGCAUGCCUAACACAUGCAAGUCGAACGGCAGCGCGGGUAGCAAUACCUGGCGGCGAGUGGCGGACGGGUGAGGAAUACAUCGGAAUCUACCCAGUCGUGGGGGAUAACGCAUCGAAAGGUGCGCUAAUACCGCAUACGACCGAGAGGUAGAAAGCGGAGGACCGAAAGGCUUCGCGCGAAUGGAUGAGCCGAUGUCGGAUUAGCAGUUGGCGGGGUAAGAGCCCACCAAGGCGACGAUCCGUGGCUGGUCUGAGAGGAUGAUCAGCCACACUGGGACUGAGACACGGCCCAGACUCCUACGGGAGGCAGCAGUGGGGAAUAUUGGACAAUGGGACGAAAGCCUGAUCCAGCGAUGCCGCGUGUGUGAAG